UGGAGCACCAUGAGAGUUGCUGGCUCCCCGCGUCAACAAUCCUUAGUCCUUCACCUGCUGUCAGACUUGUUUGACCACUGUGUGAGUUGCCAGCUCCUUGGGUCCUGGAUUUUCUUAAUAAGUGUUGGCCAUUUUUUGGAGUGUGUCCUGUAGGGGCCCAAUUGUUAGUGUAUUAUUUCUUUCUUGAUUCUGCUUCAUGUCCCUGUUUCCAAGGUUCACUUGUUGUGCAGACUUUGGAAAGUUCACCUCAAGCUGUAUAUGUCUAGGGUAGCCCUUCCCUAAGUGUUUACCAGCCCUGACAGGAUACAUCUCUGGUUGGUGCCAGUAAAGGGAGCUUUGGACUACUCCCCGAGUAGUGCAAGGAUUUAUGACUCCUCUACAAGGCUCUGAGAUUGGAAGCAUUCCGAGGCUAUUGAGUAGGGGUGCGCUAGGGUUUUCAUGCUUGUUUAUACGGCGCACUUCUAACGCUCUUCACAGCCGUGUUUUCGGUGUUAAUUCAUCCAGCGAGUGUCCAUUCUGCCUGUGUGCCCUGCUCACUUUGAGGCCCUGGCAAGCUUGCAGUUCAUUGGUGUGGCUCAAUAUGGUUCGACCCCUCUAAGCUUGCACUCAAUCUCUUUUGUUUUGAGGGCUGUCCAUCAGUUUUGCUACAAACCCAUGGUGACUUGUUGUGUCUUCCUCUGCUGGCUGUUUGGCAAGUUUUUUUUACCUCUACCCUAAGGGCUGUGUGAUACUUGGGUUUGCUGGGAUGCUAUUUUGAAUCAAGCACUUGUCUUCUAGUUUUUGUUUGUUUUUGAAGUGAUGAGACAACACAGGUGGAAGCUACUUCAGGUUCAUUUGCCUGUUUUUUUGUUGCAGGUUGAUGCUUGUGCAGUUGAACCCUAAAAGAAUGAGACUAGCCCCAAUUCUGAGGCUAGUCUCAUUCUUUUGGGGUUUUGGAGUUGUUGGGGUUGGUGUUUCAGGAGGCGGGGUGUGUAUUUAUAUCGGAUCGUUUUAAAGUUUGAAGAUACCUUCUUAUCUGCUCAGGCAUUGUGUGCAGAGCUCUUCUUGUUCUUGCUCUUUGCAAUACAUGCAGUUUGCGUGAAGGUACAUCCUCCCGAUGACUGCACGAGUGGUAAUGUAGAAAGAUGUGUAUAUGACAAUGCACAACAACACAUCAACGGUCAUGACGUACCCGAGUCGAGAAGCUAACGAUGUCAUCGAGGUAGGCGAGGAGAAAGGCAAAAUAAACAAGAGGAAAGGAACGUAGGAGAGGAAGAAAGAAAACAGAAGGCGAGUAGAAAGCGUCGCCGCAGUAAAAAAAGCGAGGGACGGAGGCAAGAGACGAAGGGUGGGGCAAAGGAUGUGAAGGAGGCAAAUGUGAAUGUGUAGAAGGGUAGAGGAAGUCAAGACCGGACAGGCAAGGUUAGAACAGGGCAAGAUUGGUAGAUGGAAUCCGGAGCCUCACGCCUGGGACGUUAACGCAUCAGACUUCGCAGAAGCAUCAGCAGGACAACGGGAGGAAGACCUAGGAAGGGUGCGAGGACAAGUCGUGGGAGAACGCGAUGUAAGAAGCCCAUCAGGAAAGGUGGCAGGGCCCUUGGAAAUCAGGACGACGGAGGAUUGCUUCCGCUUAGUACCGGGGGCAGAGAUGUGGGGCAACACAGCCUGGGGAGAGAGACAGGGAAGGCUCGCCAAAGUUCCGAAGGGCAUUGUCCAGCAUCGAUUCAAAUACAUUGGAGAUAGCAGAGGCAGCUGCGGGAGGAUGGACAUCAACCAUAGAAGAAGCAGAGGAGAGGAGCGUUGGGUCAGUCUCAGGAAUGGGAAGGACAGACUGUGGAAAGAACUUAGUGACGAGGUGGAUCAGCACCAUCUCGAGUGCAUCCACAACACGAGCGACAAUAGCAUCAAUAAGAUCGGGACUCGGGUGAGUGGUGGGUGGGAGAGAAGAAGCCUCAGGGGUGAGAGGAACGUCGGUGACAAACAGGUCAGGCAUGGGCCAAGGUGGCGGUGGAGGGGGAAGCGGUGGGUGAUAAUGAACCGGGGCAGGAUGAGGCAAAGCGUGACUGGUGGGCUGAGUGACCACGGGAAGAGCCUUAGCAAGUGCCACAACAUAGGAAGGACACUGAUUGAAAGUGAUGGCAUGAUCACCACGACAGUUGGGGCAACAGAGCUUGUUGGAGUCAGUCACGAGUGUAAUUAAACCAGAGCAUUUGCCACAAUGGAUGUCAUUGGUGCAGCCAUGGGAGGUAUGGUAUAAAGAAAACCCUUACAACGAAAGCACCGAGUGGAACGGGGGACGUCCACCUCCAAUUUAUGAAGGAAUCCAUUAAUCCAAACCCAAUCAGGGGAGGAGGGAGUGAAGAAAAUAAGGUCAGUGCCGGUAUCACACAGGUCUCCAUCAAUUCUACGCAUAAAUUUCUUGACACCAAAGAAUGGAAUGUCGUCAUCCUGCAGUUGCGCCUCGAUGUCGUCUGCACUAAUGUCAACAACAUGCCGGAUCACACGUUGUACCAAACGGUCACCCAGAGGCGUAUAACAACGGACCUUGUAACCACAGAUAUCGGUAAUGUCCGAAAGCACCAAGUCCCCGCAGAAAGCGUUGUCCACGGCAAUCAGGUUCCUGUGCAGAGCUCAGCUCUGUCCCGGGUUUUUAAUGUCAAACGUUUGGGGUUGAGGGGUAGCCCAAGGAAUGUUCCUAGAUGACCUUUAAUUCUUCAUGGUGUCUGAUUCCAUCUGUAGUUGGUGUUCCUUUUUUGCUCUGGGUGAAGGUGUUUACUUUUCCUCCGUCUCUGUUCGAGCUGGAUUCCUCGGGUGCACUUCCACGUCCCAUUCAGUUCACUGGAGACACAUUAUUUCGUGGGGUUUGCAUUGUCCUGCAUUGCACCUUCCUCUGUUCAGGCGAUCGUCUUUCCAUUCAAGCGGACCUCUUUCUGUUCCGGUGAACCUCUUUUGUUUCCUCAUAUGGGUUGAGGACUUUGCUUUUCUGAUGACAGUGAUAAUGAUAAUCUUAUUUCGGGGAAAGUCCUUGGCUUGGCAUGGCUUUUGUCGAACCCAGAUGCUUGCUGGCGGGAAUUUAGUUUCAUAAUGCAGUUGUUCUUAGGAGGUGCUUCUUUUGUGUUGCUUGAGAGCUGCUUGUUUGCUCCAAUUCUUCCUAUGGAAGUGAACAGGUGGCAGCUCCAUAUUCAGUUUCCUUUAUUCUCAGGAGCCUUCACAGCAGAAUAUCACUAGACUAGUGCUCUAUUGGCAGCUGAUUUACGAGUCUGGGCAGUUGUGGAUGUUCUGGCUUCAUUUCCUGGUGUGGCUGUCUUGUUACUGGAAGGAGUUGCCAAAGAUGGAACUGUUUUUGCAGUUCCAGCUUUGGCAUCUCUGCCUGACUUGCUUCUAUCCUUUGGUAGGCAGUGGUGUUUUUCUGGCCCAUUUUGCAUGAUGGCCCCGGCAUUAGAUUCAGCUUGGUCCUUAACCCUUUUGUCUGCCUUUAUAUUUUUGUCCGUAUUACCAUUUUGUCCCAUCUGUUUCCUGAAGUGACUCCUUGUUUGGUUUGUUUGGCUGCUGCCACUGCCUUCUAGCCCCUCAGGUGGUUAUGUGGAGGUAUUGUAUCCCUGUUUCAGAGGUACCCCUUCUAGGUUGGACCACUCACUGGUUGUUGGUCGGGGGUACAGUAGUCUGAUUCCCGGAUCAUUGCACUUGCUCUGGCUGGUGUUGCUUCUGCCCUGUGUCGUUCUCAUGCUUCGUGGAAGAAGCCUCUACUUGGGGUCUUUUCACUGCCCUUUUUUGUUGUUGGCCCCUUUAACAGAGUGGGGGAAGCUACAGGGAACCACUAUGGCCAUAUCAUAAAGAGGAGUUUCAUUACAUACAACCCUGUAUUUUCCAGUAAGAUUGUCUUAUAAAUAUGAAUAAUAAUUUAUUAAAAAUGUUAUAGGGUAUCUCUCUUCACUUACACUAACUCAAAGAAAAUUCAGAGGUAGUUGGUGUUCUUUGCAACACCGGAGCUUUGAAAUGUUAUGCAGAGAGUAAGUCAAAAAUAAUGUUGCUGAAAAUUAGACACCCAACCGAUACAUCUGUUAGGCACUUUUGUUGUGGAGUUCAGUUCUUAUGGCACAUGACAACACAUGCAUUCAGCACUGUAGUAUCAAUGUCAUUGAUCGUUCAAGUGACAGAUCACCUCUUAGAAAAGAAAAGAAAAGAAAGGGAUUUCCUUAACUGAAAUCACCAAUCUUUGUAUUUUUUUUUAGAAACCAAUAGGAGAAAUUACCAGUAGGUUAUUGUUUUAAUUGUUGAUUUAUUAUUUGUUGUUUGCCUUGUUUAACAAUGAUUUUUUUCCCACAAAAACAUUAUUGGUUUAAAGCUGUUUUAAAUAUCUUUUAGUAGUCCCAUACUUUGUUUGUAUUUCCCAUUUUUCAAUAAAGCUACUGAAAUUGGUACAAGACCUUGCUUGUUAUAUAAGGGGAUCUGGUUUAUCAUAAUAAUUUAUAAUUUGCAAAAAAUAAAGGACACAUAUUUGCAUGUAUUAUGAUAGCAAAGUCAAAUGGAAAAAAAUAAAUAUGUAAUACAGUAGACCAAAAAUGCUAUAGAAAUAAAAAUUGGAAAUUGUGUAAAUUUAUUGGCAACACAAAUCCAGAUUUUCCAGAUUCCCUGGUUUGUAUUGGCAGCUGGUCCAUAUAAGUAAUACAUUGACCAUAACCAGAUCGAGUUUUGGCCAUUAAAUUUGGAAAUCGUUAUAAUCCAGACCUGAAUAUAUUAGUUUUUGCUGCACUCAUGCAUUUUUAUAUGACUACAUUUUUAUGUAUAGUGUUGUUUUGGGAAGGACCCCACAGUAGCUUCCUGAGCUUAGCUCUGGUACUACCAAGCCUUAGCCCCACACCCCAGGCCUCUCAAGACCCUUCCGUAGUGUACCAGGACCCAUAUCUCCCUCACUCUAUGAAGCGAGACCAGGUGGUACUCGUUGAAGAUGUGGAUAUUGGUAGUGGAAAGUGAAAUGACGCGACUCGUGAGGUAGCAAAUUUCCCCAGAGACAAGACCACACUUAAGCACUGGUUCACCAAUGAAUCGAUUGUGGACGUACCAAGCAGAAGCUGGUGGCACAUGGCGUGAAAGGAAUAGUGGGAGUGAUUGGUAGGAGCCAUCCUGGGGCAUCUCGUGCAGAACGAGCACGCAAGACUCAUCGCGUCAACGUGAUCAUUUACUCCUGAAGACUACUGCUGUUGCCAUAGAGGUAGAUGGUGCACCAAAGAAGCUAUUGAUUUGAUGUCUUCGGGCCUUUACUGGAGACUAAAGGGAGUGUGUGUAACGGUACUGUGGGGCCGGAACAGAGAUGGUAUCUGUUGUCAGAAACCAGCAUGGUUGGAGAAAAUGAGCAAUGGCAAUCUCCAGAGUAGGAAUUGAAGCGUGACCUACAGGCCACUGUUAUCUACAAGGCGAGUCUGAUGAAAUGUAGUUUUGUUCCCCAAUAAUUGAGUUUGAGUCCAUAAGCAUUGUUGGUGUUGUAUAAAUCGCAUACAAAUAAUCAUGUGGUGUACUUUGAGCAUUAGGCAUCAUGAGAGCCAGACUUACUAGUGUUGUAGUGGAACACUUAUUGCAAGUAUAGUCUUAGAAAAGUAAUGAAAGGGCCACCCAGUGGCUUAAAUAGAGGAAGGGUGUGGGAAAAAGGGUUGUUGUUGAUUGAUGAGAGUUUGAGGGAGUUUUUAGUGUAAAAAAUUGAAAUGUAGUGUCUGGAAAAUAAAGUAACUCUGUAUCUAUGGUUGUAAAUCCUAGCUCCUGUUUUCUUAAUGAGAGAAUGUGGGUUGUAAGGGGCAGGUUGGGUGAAUUAAAGUUGCAUCCCCCCCCCUCUGCAGACAAAUAUCUCAAGUUGUAAAAAAAAAAAAAAAAAAAGAUUGGUUUUAAA